GGGGAUGUAGCUCAGGGGUAGAGCGCUUGCUUAGCAUUGUCUCGUACAACUUGCAUGAGGUCCCGGGUUCGAUUCCCUGCCUCUCCA
rnacentral:tRNA from 2 species